rfam:Dipodomys ordii ctg_broad_rename0000727, whole genome shotgun sequence.
GGGAAUGUGACUCAGUGGUAGAGUGCUUGCUUUGCAUGCAUGAGGACCUGGGUUCACUCCUCAGUACCA